rnacentral:ncRNA from 2 species
AAUUAUUUCCGCGACUGACGGAAUUAAGGUGGCUACCACCGGGGAGCGGAAGAUAAUAAGAAAGGCCGACCGUCUGGGCAUAAAGA